UUAACUCAAAUUUGUAUGGAGUUGGAAAGUUUGCCUACGUUUGCCGCUAGGGGCGUUGUUCCAACUGUUAACUUUUACGCUA
rnacentral:pre_miRNA from 1 species